rnacentral:sRNA from 1 species
GGAUGUGAGGCAAUCUGGCUGCGACAUGUCACCCCAUUGAUCGCUUGGGUUCAUUCGGCUGGAUCUGGCUGGCUAGGUGGGUGUCCCCAUCCCCCCUCGCUGCUCCAUGCACAUCUAUUCAGUUAGAGGACCACCUUCCCCGAAUGGAGGAGGACUGGUCUUCCUCUCUCUUUCUCACUCUCAAAUAAGUAAAAGUGAAUAAAUAGGGGCUGGAGAGACAGCUCUGGCACUUGCGUGCAAAGCCAAAGGACCCAGGUUU